UACAGAGGUCUCAAGCGUUGUUCGGAUUCAUUGGGCGUAAAGGGUGCGUAGGUGGCGCGGUAAGUCGGGUGUGAAAUCUCGGAGCUUAACUCCGAAAUUGCAUUCGAUACUGCCGUGCUUGAGGACUGGAGAGGAGACUGGAAUUCAUGGUGUAGCAGUGAAAUGCGUAGAGAUCAUGAGGAAGACCAGUGGCGAAGGCGGGUCUCUGGACAGUUCCUGACACUGAGGCACGAAGGCCCAGGGGAGCAAACGGG
rnacentral:rRNA from 1 species